GAGUUUGAUCGUGGCUCAGAACGAACGCUGGCGGCAGGCUUAACACAUGCAAGUCGAAACGCGUGUAGCAAUACACGAGUGGCGCACGGGUGAGUAAACACGUGGAUAUCUGCCUUUUGGUUUCGGAAUAAACCCUGGGAAACUAGGGCUAAUACCGGAAAUGGUUUCCUACGGGAUAAAAGAUUUAUCGCCAAAAGAUGAGUCCGCGUCCGAUUAGCUAGUUGGUGAGGUAAUGGCUCACCAAGGCGACGAUCGGUAGCUGGUCUGAGAGGACGAUCAGCCACACUGGGACUGAGACACGGCCCAGGACUCCUACGGGAGGCGAGCAGUGGGGAAUAUUGGGACAAUGGGGGCAACCCUGAUCCAGCCAUGCCGCGUGAGUGAUGAA
rnacentral:rRNA from 1 species